rnacentral:misc_RNA from 1 species
AACGCACCUUGCGCUCCUUGGCUAAUCCGGGGAGCAUGCCUGUUUCAGCCUCAUUAAAACCAUCAAGAUUUCGUUUUUUUUUUUAAAAAGACGGUAAUUUUGGAGUUGGGCCAUCUCGAAAAUGAAUAAGAGAAUUUUUUCUUUUUUUCAUCCGAGAGGCUUGAAAUUGAGGCCCUGGGACGUCGGUGACCCAAAGCGACAAAUAGUGAUGGUCUUUGUUGAUCCUCUCCUCAUCCGCUAGGUCUUAUCCGAUGAAUUUCUGGGUUCGGUUGCAGGAAAAUCCAGAGGGGUUCGUCCUCUCUACAAUCCUUGAGCUGAAAUCAGGCAAGAUUACCCGCUGAACUUAA